rnacentral:misc_RNA from 1 species
AGUCGUAACAAGGUUUCCGUAGGUGAACCUGCGGAAGGAUCAUUACAGAGUUCAUGCCCGAAAGGGUAGACCUCCCACCCUUGUGUAUUAUUACUUUGUUGCUUUGGCGAGCUGCCUUCGGGCCUUGUAUGCUCGCCAGAGAAUACCAAAACUCUUUUUAUUAAUGUCGUCUGAGUACUAUAUAAUAGUUAAAACUUUCAACAACGGAUCUCUUGGUUCUGGCAUCGAUGAAGAACGCAGCGAAAUGCGAUAAGUAAUGUGAAUUGCAGAAUUCAGUGAAUCAUCGAAUCUUUGAACGCACAUUGCGCCCCUUGGUAUUCCGGGGGGCAUGCCUGUUCGAGCGUCAUUUCAACCCUCAAGCUUAGCUUGGUAUUGAGUCUAUGUCAGUAAUGGCAGGCUCUAAAAUCAGUGGCGGCGCCGCUGGGUCCUGAACGUAGUAAUAUCUCUCGUUACAGGUUCUCGGUGUGCUUCUGCCAAAACCCAAAUUUUUCUAUGGUUGACCUCGGAUCAGGUAGGGAUACCCGCUGAACUUAAGCAUAUCAAUAAGCGGAGGA